AACGUAGGACCCAAGCGUUAUCCGGAAUUACUGGGCGUAAAGAGUUGCGUAGGUGGCUUGUUAAGUGGAGCGUGAAAGCGUGUGGCUCAACCAUACAACUGCGUUUUAAACUGGCAAGCUAGAGUGCGAGAGAGGUAGAUGGAAUUCCCAGUGUAGGAGUGAAAUCCGUAGAUAUUGGGAGGAACACCGAUGGCGUAGGCAGUCUACUGGCUCGUUACUGACACUAAGGCACGAAAGCGUGGGGA
rnacentral:rRNA from 1 species